GACGAACGCUGGCGGCGUGCUUAACACAUGCAAGUCGAACGCUGAAGCUUGGUGCUUGCACUGGGUGGAUGAGUGGCGAACGGGUGAGUAAUACGUGAGUAACCUGCCCUUGACUCUGGGAUAAGCCUGGGAAACUGGGUCUAAUACUGGAUACGACAUGUCACCGCAUGGUGGUGUGUGGAGAGGGUUUUACUGGUUUUGGAUGGGCUCGCGGCCUAUCAGCUUGUUGGUGGGGUAAUGGCUCACCAAGGCGACGACGGGUAGCCGGCCUGAGAGGGUGACCGGCCACACUGGGACUGAGACACGGCCCAGACUCCUACGGGAGGCAGCAGUGGGGAAUAUUGCACAAUGGGCGGAAGCCUGAUGCAGCGACGCCGCGUGAGGGAUGACGGCCUUCGGGUUGUAAACCUCUUUCAGCACGGAAGAAGCGAAAGUGACGGUACGGGCAGAAGAAGCGCCGGCUAACUACGUG
rnacentral:rRNA from 1 species